GUGCUUGCUUUGGCAGCACACCUACUAAAACUGGAAGGAUACAGAGAAUAUUAGCAUGGCUCUUGUGUAAAAAUGACUUGCAAAUUUGUGAAGUGUUCCAUAUUUUA
ensembl:snRNA U6 U6 spliceosomal RNA